CAGUAGGGAUCUUCCGCAAUGGACGAAAGUCUGACGGAGCAACGCCGCGUGAGUGAUGAAGGUUUUCGGAUCGUAAAACUCUGUUAUUAGGGAAGAACAAAUGUGUAAGUAACUGUGCACAUCUUGACGGUACCUAAUCAGAAAGCCACGGCUAACUACGUGCCAGCAGCCGCGGUAAUACGUAGGUGGCAAGCGUUAUCCGGAAUUAUUGGGCGUAAAGCGCGCGUAGGCGGUUUCUUAAGUCUGAUGUGAAAGCCCACGGCUCAACCGUGGAGGGUCAUUGGAAACUGGGAAACUUGAGUACAGAAGAGGAAAGUGGAAUUCCAUGUGUAGCGGUGAAAUGCGCAAAGAUAUGGAGGAACACCAGUGGCGAAGGCGACUUUCUGGUCUGUAACUGACGCUGAUGUGCGAAAGCGUGGGGAUCAAACAGGAUUAGAUACCCUGGUAGUCCACGCCGUAAACGAUGAGUGCUAAGUGUUAGGGGGUUUCCGCCCCUUAGUGCUGCAGCUAACGCAUUAAGCACUCCGCCUGGGGAGUACGACCGCAAGGUUGAAACUCAAAGGAAUUGACGGGGCCCC
rnacentral:rRNA from 1 species